rnacentral:rRNA from 1 species
UACAGAGGGUGCAAGCGUUGUUCGGAAUUAUUGGGCGUAAAGGGCGCGUAGGCGGUGCGGUAAGUCUGUAGUGAAAUCUCUGGGCUCAACUCAGAGUCUGCUAUAGAAACUGCCGUGCUUGAGUGUGGGAGAGGUGAGUGGAAUUCCCGGUGUAGCGGUGAAAUGCGUAGAUAUCCACAGGAACUCCGGUGGCGAAGGCGGCCAGCUGGACCCGAUCUGACGCUGAGGCGCGAAAGCCAGGGGAGCGAACGGG